UCAUAUGGUUUUUCUAUUUUAUUCUUACUGACUAGGAUAUCAUGCCGGCAAAACCACAUACCCAUAGUGUUAUAGGAGUAUGACCUAAUUUGACCCGGUUUUAAGAUUUCCGGUAUUGACGUUACAUAAAGUUUGAGGGACGUGAACUAGACUUAUUUCUUAUGUGAAUGGGCUAUAUCGUUUCGUUUGUAAGCCUUCCGGCCCAUCUUCUGACCAGUCGGCACAAAAAUGGGCUGGAAGCCUCUUUCAAAGACGUUCCCUGUCUUCGUCGGCGACGGCGGCGGACGACGCCGGCGGCGAGUAGGCUUCCAGCAAAUACCGCGGCCUAAACCCUAGCCCACUCCGGCGAUGACCAGGUCUCGCCCCACCCCACCCGCUCGAUGGGGGCGCCCGCUGGAUAGAGGAGCAGCGGCCGACCAGCCGCCAGUGGCGAAGCUGUCGCCGCCACCGAUUCGCGCGCCGCGGCACUGUUCCCACCUAGAGAAUCGCGCUGUUCGACCUCGUCAACCACGACGGCGCUGCCCCGGCCUCCCGGUACACCCUCUCCGUGGCUUUCGGUGACGAGGGAUUAAGAAAAAGAUGGGAGCAUGCUUUUAGGUUCCUGUGAUCUGCUUUCUUCAUAAAUUCAGUUUAUGGUUCAUGUUGAAGACAUCCUGAUGAUGUAAAUGAGAUAUUAGUUCACUGGUGGGAGGGACAUCAUCGCAAGUAUUUAAUUGGGUUUUGAAGGCUGAUAGAAUGGAACUAAGAUCUGGAGCUCAUGCAAUGCUACAACUGUGGUAAUAGAUGCUCUUUCUGGAUUAAUGUAAUUACUAUGGUGAAUUGGCAGAUGCACAUUAAUCUUGUGAGUUUAUAUUCUACUGCUGAUUCAGAUUUAUUCGCUUGUCAUUUGGAUUGCUUGGUUUUCUGUGAUUCGAUCUUGCAACUAUUACCAUCCAUUCUGUCAGGUGCAUGAUUUGAAUAACUCUCCUGCUAGAUUGAAAUUAAAUUUAAGAGUACGAAAUUUGCCGUUUCAACUUUUGAUCGGCAUGGCAAGCUCUCAUGCAUUAGGAAGGGACAACCUAAUAAAAAAAAUCAAUGUAGUGCCUCAUCAGCAGCAUUAAUGAAGUAUGCACAUUAGCUGUAGCUGCACCAUUGGACUUUGACGAGUCAAAUUGUCAUUUGUGAACUACUGUAAUCACUGUUUUCCUUUUCUAAUGAAGCUGAUUGAGAUCCAAAUGCUCGUGAUGAAAAGCACAGCAUGGGAUGGUGCGCCCUGUUUAAGGGCAGCAUGAUGAGCAGAAUCCAAUAGGUGAAAAGAUUCGGCACCAUGGUGUCCCUCGCACGCAGCUUCAGCGAAGCUGCAGCCAGCCCAAAUAGCAAGAGUAAACAAAUGCAGCCAAGUACACAGUAUAGGUUUUUGCACGCACAAGAUCAUACCUAACGUACAGGUACAAAAAUAUUUUUAUAAGAGCCAUCUAUCUGUCUGUCAGUACCUGUUUCUGCUAAUUAUUAGUUCUUGCUUAUUUUUUUUCUCUGUACACAAAGCCAGUGCAAAUUAAAAAGAUUGUACUAAUUUUAAACUGGGCAGCAUCCAAGCAGAGUGAAGCUACUCCACGCAAGUGGGAGUUUUUCCUGUCAGCAAACUCAAACACAUUGGAAUUAAUAAUUGCAUCCUAUUGUUCCCUGUUCCCUUCCUUGUUUUUCCCCCCGCUGCCUCCUCUCCUCAUAUCUGCCCAUUCGGUUAUAAAAGUAGACCUGGUCUCGUCCCCUCUUUGCACCAACACAGCAUUCUUCCUGCUCCAGUUCUAGUCUUCUAGGGUUAGAAGUGAUGAGAGGUCAAGAUAAGCUGUGGGUAAACAAGCUCAAUCACUAUGGUGUGGGUGUAGAGAUCUGAUCUAUAUAUCCAGGUAAUUAAUUAAACUAAUUACGUUAAGUUUACUUUCGAGCCAUCUGUGAUCUUGGCAUGACUGCUGGUUUGCAGCUAUGGCUUUCAAAAGCUUGCUGUGUCAAUCUCCUAGAUCUAAUGGUUGGCACAGCAAGUAUAUAACACAUAUUUUGGUUUGUUCACCUAGAUCUGCUUUCCUUUACUGUUCCAUGUCAAUAUUGAUCCUUGUGGAACAUAGAAUAUAAGGGGCAGCACAGAUCUUGUUAAAUUACAUAGUGUGCUUGAUCUGUGGUACCAGUUUGAUUUUUUCUGAUACAUGGGAAUCUCAUACUAAAUGCCAACGUUACUUUUCCUUUCCAAAAAUCUUGCUGGUUCAGGUAUUAUUUACAUAUCAGGUGCACUUAACAUGCAUGUACGCUUGAUCUACCAAAGAUGUCUUCAGCAAGUUUAUUACCAUCUAUCAUAAAAAAUAAGUAUAUUACAAGAUGCAACAAAGCAAAGGUGCCACUAUACUGCAUAUGGAACCUUAAGUGAAGUCACCUCACUGGGGGUUUUAGAGUUGGAGAUGCCUCCAUUGUGUGUGAUGCAUAUUUUCCACUUCGGAUGGCUAAUAAAGUAAUAAUAACAUAGCAAAACUAUAUUUGUUAUUGACAAUACUUGACACUUGAUUGUGCUAACAUUUACUAGUUCUUCUUGUAGGUUUUGUAACCAGGGGCAAUAAGCUAGAGGCAGCAACUGCAUAACUUGCGAGAAACUUGUAAGAUUUCUUUACAACCUAUGGAAAAGAUAGGUUUACUUGUCUUAAUUUUUUGCUGUUCUUGUUAACUAGGAAACCAGAAGAAUUAUUAACAAGAGAGAAUUUAUAACAAACAAAUUUGAUGCCAA